rnacentral:lncRNA from 1 species
AUUUUCCUCCAGAACUCUGCCCCUUCUCUCUGUUUCUGCCUCCUAGCAUUUUUCCUUGGAGGUUGGGGAGAAAUUUGUUUUCCUAAAUGUUGGAGCAGGUGGUGUUACUUAAGACACAACCUAAAAUUUUUCCUACAUAGUCUUUAUUAUGGCUUGAAUUGUGCCCCGCAAAUAGAUGUGUUAAAAUCCUGAUCUCCUGGACCUCAGAACGUGGCCUCAUUUGUAAAUGGGCCACUGCAGAUGAAAUCAAGGUAGUGUAGCAUAGUCACAGCAUCAUGAAGACAAAGACCUGGACAUCUUUGGGAGCCAUUAUUCUGCCAACCAUGGACUCUGAGCUCUGAAGGCAGAAAGAACAUCUUAUUCCUGCUGGAUUUCAG